AGUGGAAAGGCGGUGCUGUGGCAAUGACAACAGAUGCAAGGCUUCAACCUAGUUGUUAAGGCAGUUCCAAAUGCAGUGACAGUGAGUGCAGCAUUCUGCAAAAUAGUCUAUUGCAGUUCUCUAGUGCACUUCUAACUAAUGUUGCAUCUGCUGCUAACUUCGAUAUGGGAGAGCCAAUGUCAUUGACUCAUUCUCGUCCAAAACAAAUUACCCAACCU